AUCCUCAACCUGUUGCGGACAGAUGAAAUGGAUAUGGCUGUCGAACCCGCCCGCCGUCAGGAUGCGGCCCUCGCCCGCGAUCACCUCGGUGCCGGGGCCAACAAUGAUAUCGACGCCGGGUUGGGUAUCGGGAUUGCCCGCCUUACCAAUGGCCGCAAUGCGUCCGCUCUUCAGGCCGACAUCGGCCUUGAAGAUGCCGGUGACAUCCACGAUCAGCGCGUUGGUGAUGACCGUGUCUACCGCCCCGCCUGCGCGGGUGACUUGGCUUUGCCCCAUGCCGUCGCGGAU
rnacentral:sRNA from 1 species